rnacentral:rRNA from 1 species
GGUCACACCCGUUCCCAUGCCGAACACGGAAGUUAAGCUCUUCAGCGCCGAUGGUAGUUGGGGGUCUCCCCCUGUGAGAGUAGGACGCCGCCAAGC